rnacentral:tRNA from 1 species
GUUUGAGUAGUUUAAUUAGAAUGUCUAUUUUACACGUAGUUGGCGGGUUUAACCCCUUAAAUA